rnacentral:ncRNA from 1 species
CUCACUGGAGAGAGGCUGGAGACGGCGCACCGCCACACGCGAGCGCACCGUGAGCCAGCCCACCGAAGGGGCAAGCCCGAACCGCCGCGACAACGGUCGCCGCGAUGGGUCAAUCUCUCAGGUAAAGCGGACAGCGGGGG